CCUACGGGUGGCAGCAGUGGGGAAUAUUGCACAAUGGGGGAAACCCUGAUGCAGCAACGCCGCGUGAGUGAAGAAGUAUUUCGGUAUGUAAAGCUCUAUCAGCAGGGAAGAGAAUGACAGUACCUGACUAAGAAGCCCCGGCUAACUACGUGCCAGCAGCCGCGGUAAUACGUAGGGGGCGAGCGUUAUCCGGAUUUACUGGGUGUAAAGGGAGCGUAGACGGUUCUGCAAGUCUGAAGUGAAAGCCCGUGGCUUAACCGCGGAACGGCUUUGGAAACUGUGGAACUGGAGUGCUGGAGAGGCAAGCGGAAUUUCUAGUGUAGGAGUGAAAUCCGUAGAUAUUAGAAGGAACACCAAUAGCGUAGGCAGGUUGCUGGGACGGUUCUGACACUAAGGCACGAAAGCGUAGGGAGCAAACGGGAUUAGAUACCCUAGUAGUC
rnacentral:rRNA from 1 species